rnacentral:lncRNA from 12 species
AUGUUUCAGAAAAUGAACUUAGUUUCUGUUUGCCUUCCUUGUGCCUACUUCCAACUUUCUCAGAGGCGCUUUGCUCUUCAAACAUUUUUUAGUCCCUCGUGUGUUUGUCUACUCUUCUGUGAAAGGAGUCAGGUUUGCCCAGGAACUUCACUGAGUAAAGGCAGUUUUGUUAUAGAAAUGGAAGCUGAACUGGAACAUUAACAAUCAGAAUGAAAGAGCAGCAAGCAGAUCUGGAAAACUCGCCAUUGUAUGUGAAAAGGGAAAGUUUUUAUGGAUGCUAGAGAGGCCAAAGGAAAGGGCUUAUUUUAUAAUUGAGAACAUAGUUUAAUUUAGAUUUUUAAGGACAAGUCACCAAACAUUCAAAAUCCAUAUAUGACAGUUGAGAGAAAUGGGACAAUACAUCCAUUUGAUAAUGGAAAGGAAAGCAUUCAUAUUUGACAAUAUGAUGUUUAUAAGAUGUCUCCUGGUGGUUCUGCAAGGAGUCAAUGUGUAAUUUAAUGUAUUGACUUCUAUUUCUAAAGAAUCAUGUUGUUUACCUGGCUAUCUUAGGGGUUACUGUUCUAUCUUGAACUGUGUCGGUGAAAGACACAAACCAGCCAGUGUGUACCUUCUGACAAUUUCCAGAUUUUUACCUGGAGACACCUGGAAGCAGAGACUCAUUCAUGGAAGGUGUGUUACAGUAGCAACAGGACUGGAUUUGGGAGUCAGGAGAUAGAAUUAAAAACCUCAGCCUUUUUACUUAGAAAUAUGUGGCCAUGGGGAAUUAGCUUCUUCCGGUGGUUCUUGACCACAGCUGUACAGCAAAACCAUCUGUUGAGCUUUAUAUACACAUAUAUACACCUGGGCCACACUGCUGAGAUUCUAGUUCAAUGGGUAACAGUUUGGUCCCUGUAUUAUUCAAAACCAACUGAGGUCAGUAACUACUGAUACAGUGUCCUCAUUUGUAAAAUAAGGAUUGCAUUUCCUAUCCAUUGUAUAGAGUUGUUGUAAAGAUUAAAUAUGAUGAU